GGGCCCGUCGUCUAGCCUGGUUAGGACGCCGCCCUGACGACCUAUGGUUAGAGCGGCGGAAAUCCUGGGUUCAAGUCCCAGCGGGCCCA
rnacentral:tRNA from 1 species